AUAUAAUAAGUAGAUUAAUAGUGCCCUAAACUAAAUGUUUUUCUAGAUCCGCCACUGUAUCUAAAGAUUCGUAAGAAAAGGGAGAGAGAGAUGAAAGGAGCACACUUCAUAAAAGAGAAGAAGAUUUAUUCACUAGGAUGUCUUUUGAAGAAGAAAGAAGAACGAGAGCGAGAUGUACAAACACAGUAAGAAAAGGGAGAGAGAGAUGAAAGGAGCACACUUGAUAAAAGACAAGAAAAUUUAUUCAAUAGGAUGUCUUUUGAAGAAAAAAGAAGAACGAGAGCGUGAUAUACAAACAGAGGAUAGUAUUGUCAAUAUUACAUAUAUUAUACAUAAUAUCUCUUUCUAUUGUUUGAAGUGUUAGUUUACCAAUUAAAGUAUUUUUGUUGGUUAUAUUUGCCAAUUCCCAUUAUCUUUAUACAUCAAUUGGUCAAGUCAAGAUCAUAUAUUCCAUAUGCGAUUAAAUUCAU
rnacentral:sRNA from 1 species